rnacentral:rRNA from 1 species
CUCAGUAGCGGCGAGCGAAGAGGGAAGAGCCCAGCACCGAAUCCCCGUCCGACAGGCGGGCGUGGGAAGUGUGGUGUAUAGAAGACCGCUUGCCCGGUGUCGCUCGGGGGCCUGAGUCCUUCUGAUCGAGGCCCAGCCCGAAU